rnacentral:rRNA from 1 species
GCGUGAGUGAUGAAGGCUCUCGGGUCGUAAAGCUCUGUCAGAGGGGAAGAACCUCCUGUCGGUUAAUACCCGACAGGCCUGACGGUACCCUCAAAGGAAGCACCGGCUAACUCCGUGCCAGCAGCCGCGGUAAUACGGAGGGUGCAAGCGUUGUUCGGAAUUAUUGGGCGUAAAGCGCGUGUAGGCGGUCCGCUAAGUCUGAUGUGAAAGCCCUGGGCUCAACCCAGGAAGUGCAUUGGAAACUGACGGACUUGAGUACGGGAGAGGAAAGUGGAAUUCCGAGUGUAGGGGUGAAAUCCGU